GUUGAAAGAUACCGAUGACGAUUACCGGUUGAAAGAUACCGAUGAUGAUUACCAGUUGAAAGAUAUCGAUGAUGAUUACCGUUGAAAGAUACCGAUGAUGAUUACUGGUUGAAAUAUACCGAUGAUGAUUACCGGUAGAAAGAUACCGAUGGUAUUGUAUGGUAUGUGGUAUGAUGGGGGAACUCACUAAGCUUUGUGCUUACGGUUUCAGUUUUAGGUUUCAGGUACCUCUUCAUCUAAGGGGAAGGAGCCGGCGGCAUAGCAUGGCAUCACACACACAUAUGAUUUUCCGCACGGUGUUUUCUGGGAUUGUACUCUGAUAUGACAUUUGUUCAUGGUUGUGGGUUUCAAAUAUGAUACUUGGUUUUGAGAUGACGUGUUUAUACAAUAUUUUGUAAUGAAUGUUUCAUGAAUUAAU
rnacentral:lncRNA from 1 species